rnacentral:rRNA from 1 species
UACGGAGGGUGCAAGCGUUAAUCGGAAUUACUGGGCGUAAAGCGUGCGCAGGCGGUUUGUUAAGUCUGCUGUGAAAUCCCCGAGCUCAACUUGGGAAUUGCAGUGGAUACUGGCAGGCUGGAGUAUGGUAGAGGAAGGUGGAAUUCCCGGUGUGGCAGUGAAAUGCGUAGAGAUCGGGAGGAACACCAGUGGCGAAGGCGGCCUUCUGGACCAAUACUGACGCUCAUGCACGAAAGCGUGGGGAGCAAACAGG